rnacentral:tRNA from 1 species
CGGGCUGUAGCUCAGUUGGUAGAGUACCUGCUUUGGGAGCAGGGGGUCCCGGGUUCGAGCCCCGGCAGCCCGA